UCAACGUCACUGCUUGUCAUGCAGUCGUACGCUGUGCUAUUCACUCCCGAGUGCUUGCACUCAAUUGGAAAGAGGAGUGGCGGACGGGUGAGUAACACGUGGGUAACCUACCCAUCAGAGGGGGAUAACACUUGGAAACAGGUGCUAAUACCGCAUAACAGUUUAUGCCGCAUGGCAUAAGAGUGAAAGGCGCUUUCGGGUGUCGCUGAUGGAUGGACCCGCGGUGCAUUAGCUAGUUGGUGAGGUAACGGCUCACCAAGGCCACGAUGCAUAGCCGACCUGAGAGGGUGAUCGGCCACACUGGGACUGAGACACGGCCCAGACUCCUACGGGAGGCAGCAGUAGGGAAUCUUCGGCAAUGGACGAAAGUCUGACCGAGCAACGCCGCGUGAGUGAAGAAGGUUUUCGGAUCGUAAAACUCUGUUGUUAGAGAAGAACAAGGACGUUAGUAACUGAACGUCCCCUGACGGUAUCUAACCAGAAAGCCACGGCUAACUACGUGCCAGCAGCCGCGGUAAUACGUAGGUGGCAAGCGUUGUCCGGAUUUAUUGGGCGUAAAGCGAGCGCAGGCGGUUUCUUAAGUCUGAUGUGAAAGCCCCCGGCUCAACCGGGGAGGGUCAUUGGAAACUGGGAGACUUGAGUGCAGAAGAGGAGAGUGGAAUUCCAUGUGUAGCGGUGAAAUGCGUAGAUAUAUGGAGGAACACCAGUGGCGAAGGCGGCUCUCUGGUCUGUAACUGACGCUGAGGCUCGAAAGCGUGGGGAGCAAACAGGAUUAGAUACCCUGGUAGUCCACGCCGUAAACGAUGAGUGCUAAGUGUUGGAGGGUUUCCGCCCUUCAGUGCUGCAGCAAACGCAUUAAGCACUCCGCCUGGGGAGUACGACCGCAAGGUUGAAACUCAAAGGAAUUGACGGGGGCCCGCACAAGCGGUGGAGCAUGUGGUUUAAUUCGAAGCAACGCGAAGAACCUUACCAGGUCUUGACAUCCUUUGACCACUCUAGAGAUAGAGCUUUCCCUUCGGGGACAAAGUGACAGGUGGUGCAUGGUUGUCGUCAGCUCGUGUCGUGAGAUGUUGGGUUAAGUCCCGCAACGAGCGCAACCCUUAUUGUUAGUUGCCAUCAUUUAGUUGGGCACUCUAGCGAGACUGCCGGUGACAAACCGGAGGAAGGUGGGGAUGACGUCAAAUCAUCAUGCCCCUUAUGACCGGGGCUACCACGUGCUACAAGGGGAAAUACAACGAGUCCCUAAACCCGAGGGCUUGCAAAUUCCUUAAAGUUUCCCCAUUUGGAUUGGGGGUG
rnacentral:rRNA from 1 species